UACAGAGGUCUCAAGCGUUGUUCGGAUUCAUUGGGCGUAAAGGGUGCGUAGGCGGCGCGGUAAGUCGGGUGUGAAAUUUCGAGGCUUAACUUCGAAACUGCAUUCGAUACUGCCGUGCUAGAGGACUGGAGAGGAGACUGGAAUUUACGGUGUAGCGGUGAAAUGCGUAGAUAUCGUAAGGAAGACCAGUGGCGAAGGCGGGUCUCUGGGCCCCUACCUGACGCUGAGACGCGAAAGCGUGGGGGAGCGAACCGG
rnacentral:rRNA from 1 species